GGAAUAAGAUUUGGUCCAAAACAAGUCUCAGCAUGAAGAUCCUUUAUCUGCUGUUCACAUUUCUUUUCCUUACAUUCCUGUCUGAACCAGGGAAUGCCCAGCCUCCUGAGUGUAAGAAGAUAGGAGGACAAUGCUAUCAAAGUAGUUGUCCUGGAAAAAAUAACCAAGGGUGGAAGGACUGUGAGUGGGGCCAGUUGUGCUGUAAUUAAACGCGGAAAUGGAAAAUAAUGCCAUCUCCAUCUACGACCAUGGAUACCUGCAAGAUAUGGCCAAUGACUUGAGAUUAUUGCCUGCUGUCGCUUUAUCUUUCUUUAUAUAAAUCAAAUUGCUACCCAUCAAACUCUAAAACAUUUGUGCAUUGAAAUAAAAUUUGGCAAAUAUUUCUUGAAA